rnacentral:rRNA from 1 species
CACUGCACGCGAGUGCGAUAAGGGGACUCCGAGUGCGAGGGCAUAUAGUCCUCGCUUUUCACGACCGUAAGGUGGUCGUAGAAUAAGUGACUGGGCAAGACCGGUGCCAGCCGCCGCGGUAAUACCGGCAGCACGAGUGAUGACCGCUAUUAUUGGGCCUAAAGCGUCCGUAGCUGGCCACGCAAGUCUAUCGGGAAAUCCGCGCGCUUAACGCGCGCGCGUCCGGUGGAAACUGCGUGGCUUGGGACCGGAAGACCAGAGGGGUACGUCCGGGGUAGGAGUGAAAUUCCGUAAUUCUGGACGGACCACCGGUGGCGAAAGCGCCUCUUGAAGACGGAUCCGACGGUGAGGGACGAAAGUUCGGGUCACGAACCGGAUUAGAUACCCGGGUAGUCCGAGCUGUAAACGAUGUCUGCUAGGUGUGGCACAGGCUACAAGCCUGUGCUGUGCCGUAGGGAAGCCGUGAAGCAGACCCCCUGGAAAGUACGUCCGCAAGGAUAAAACUUAAAGAAAUUGGCGGGGGAGCACUACAACCGGAGGAGCCUGCGGUUUAAUUGGACUCAACGCCGGACAUCUCACCAGCAUCGACAAUGUGCAGUGAACGUCAGGUUGAUGACCUUACUGGAGCCAUUGAGAGGAGGUGCAUGGCCGCCGUCAGCUCGUACCGUGAGGCGUCCUGUUAAGUCAGGCAACGAGCGAGACCCGCACUCCUAAUUGCCAGCAACACCCUUGCGGUGGUUGGGUACAUUAGGAGGACUGCCAGUGCCAAACUGGAGGAAGGAACGGGCAACGGUAGGUCAGUAUGCCCCGAAUGUGCUGGGCGACACGCGGGCUACAAUG